ensembl:snRNA U6 U6 spliceosomal RNA
GCGCUUGCUUUGGCAGCACGUAUACUAAAACUGGAACAGUACACGGAAGAUUAGCUUGGCCGUGCACAAGGAUGACAUGCAAAUUUGAGAGGCAUUCCAUAUUUUU